CAAAUUCAGAAACCCUGCUCAGCGAGCAGGUUUUUUUUGUAUCUGAAGCCUGACGAGGAUGAGAACCUCCGGGGGCAAGAGGUUCGACUCGAGCGAAGCGAGAGAACGUUGCGUCAGCAACGGCCCGCAGGGCGAGCCACGCAGUGGCGAGUCAUCCUCUAUCACCGACCA
rnacentral:sRNA from 1 species